ACUGAAUAGAUACCCUGGUAGUCCACGCUGUAAACGAUGAGUGCUAGAUGCCGGAUUUUUUCGGUGUCGCAGCUAAACGCAUUAAGCACUCCACCUGGGAAGUACGAUCGCAAGGUUGAAACCCAAAGGAAUUGACGGGGGCCCGCACAAGCAGUGGAGCAUGUGGUUUAAUUCGAUGCAACGCGAAGAACCUUACCUAGGCUUGAAAAGCUUAUGACCGGCUGUGAAAGCAGCUUUCCCGCAAGGGCAUAAGUACAGGUGCUGCAUGGCUGUCGUCAGCUCGUGCCGUGAGGUGUUGGGUUAAGUCCCGCAACGAGCGCAACCCUUACCAUUAGUUGCCACCGGAGCAAUCCGAGCACUCUAAUGGAACUGCCUACGCAAGUAGUGAGGAAGGUGAGGAUGACGUCAAGUCCGCAUGGCCCUUACGCCUAGGACUACACACGUGCUACAAUGGCCGCCACAACGGGCAGCAAAAUCGCGAGAUGGAGCGAAUCCCUAAAAAGCGG
rnacentral:rRNA from 1 species